AAGACUAUAGACCUGCGGAGUACCUGCGGAGGGAUCAUUACCGAGUUUUCAACUCCCUAACCCUUCUGUGAACCUACCUAUCGUUGCUUCGGCGGACUCGCCCCAGCCCGGACGCGGACUGGACCAGCGGCCCGCCGGGGACCUCAAACUCUUGUAUUCCAGCAUCUUCUGAAUACGCCGCAAGGCAAAACAAAUGAAUCAAAACUUUUAACAACGGAUCUCUAGAUCGGAAGAGCACAC
rnacentral:misc_RNA from 1 species